rnacentral:tRNA from 1 species
GGGUGCAUAGCUCAAGGGCAGAGCACUAAGCUUAUAUCUUAGCGGUUCCAGGUUCGAAUCCUGGUGCACCCA